rnacentral:miRNA from 1 species
UGCGACGUCGGACAAUCCCUC